rnacentral:rRNA from 1 species
CCUACGGGGAGCAGCAGUGAGGAAUAUUGGUCAAUGGGCGGAAGCCUGAACCAGCCAAGUAGCGUGCAGGAUGACGGCCCUACGGGUUGUACACUGCUUUUAUGCGGGAAUAACGCGCCUUACGUGUAGGGCUUUGCAUGUACCGUAUGAAUAAGGACCGGCUAAUUCCGUGCCAGCAGCCGCGGUGAUACGGAAGGUCCGGGCGUUCUCUGGAUUUAUUGGGUUUAAAGGGAGCGUAGGCCGCAUGUCAAGCUUGCUGUGAAAUGUCCGGGCUCAACCCGGGCCGUGCAGCGGGAACUGGCGGGCUUGAGUCCGCGGAAGGCAGGCGGAAUUCGACGUGUAGCGGUGAAAUGCGUAGAUAUGACGAAGAACCCCGAUUGCGAAGGCAGCUUGCUGCAGCGGAACUGACGCUGAUGCUCGAAAGCGCGGGUAUCGAACAGGAUUAGAUACCCUUGUAGUC